GCCAUUUUCUGUCCCAAUCUUCUACAUAUUAGCUUCAAUUUUCUCUCCUCCCCUCGCCCCUCUCUCUCUCUACUUACAGACACUAACGAAUAACCGCCUCCGCCAUGGACGACGGUGGCUUCACCUUCAUUCCGCCGCUUUCUUGCCGGACAAGGCCCCCUUCGCCGCUAUGCCCCCCCGCCGGCACCGGAAUUGCCCAAUCUCAGAGUGGAGAAAGAGUUUUUCCGAUCGGGUUGCCGCAGAGCCCAAUCUCUAUGGCGCGUUAGGGCUCUGUUUGUUUGGGCCCAAAUAUGAUUAAAUGGGCUUCUCCCAUGGCCCAAUUCAAACCCAACAAUGUCUCGGCCCAUUAGCCAGAGAGUAGCAUUUAUCGUAGAACCAAAUUUCUAUCGAGAAAGCUCGGGAGCGGUUGGAUUUUGGACCUACCGCGAAGGUGAAAGAAGAUAAGAGGGAUGUUAAGAAUGGGCCACGUGUCAUUAUGGAUGACCAUUGGAUUCCCUUUUGAGGAUAAAGUUGAGAGGUCAAAGGUUGUGAGUGAGUGAGUGAUGUUAUUUUGAAGCUUUCAAUCUCUCAUUUCUUAGCCAUUUGUCUCUCUUUAUCACUCACACAAUGCCUCAUAUCAUUUUUGUAGUACAUAUCUUCCAUUUCAUCAACAUUGUCAUUAUUCCUAGAGACACAAGAAAAUAGAAAGAUAAUGUCUGUUUUGAUUUUUUUUUCAGUUCAA